rnacentral:rRNA from 1 species
GAUGAACGCUGGCGGCGUGCCUAAUACAUGCAAGUCGAGCGGACAGAUGAGGAGCUUGCUCCUCUGACGUUAGCGGCGGACGGGUGAGUAACACGUGGAUAACCUACCUAUAAGACUGGGAUAACUUCGGGAAACCGGAUCUAAUACCGUAUAAUAUAUUGAACCGCAUGGUUCAAUAGUGAAAGACGGUUUUGCUGUCACUUAUAGAUGGAUCCGCGCCUCAUUAGCUAGUUGGUAAGGUAACGGCUUACCAAGGCAACGAUGCGUAGCCGACCUGAGGGGGGGAUCGGCCACACUGGAACUGAGACACGGUCCAGACUCCUACGGGCGGCAGAAGUAGGGACUGUUGCGAAAUGGGCGAAAGCCUGAAGGAGCAACGCAGCGUGAGUGAUGAAGGUCUUCGGAUCGUAAAACGCUGUUAUUAGGGAAGAACAAAUGUGUAAGUAACUAUGCACGUCUUGACGGUACCUAAUAAGAAAGCCACGGCUAACUACGU